UUUUUUUGAGAGCGCUGGAGUGGGGGUGGGGAGACACCUGGAGGAGAGGGGUGCUAUAGGAGGGGCGGCGGUGGUGGGUGCGGGCGGUCAAGGAGCGGCCGGUGCGGGAGGCGGCGCGGGAGGGGAGAGGUCGAAGGAGCGCGCGCUAGGAGGGGCGCCGGAGGUCGGCGGAGGAGAGGCAGUGGCGGAGGUGGGUCGUCUUGUGGCGGCUGUGGCGGUAGCUGGAGAGGUUGCUGCUCUCGGCGGCGGCGGAGCAGUUGUCAGACUACAUGUCCUCGUUCGUCUCCCCGAAGGACCUCGACCUGGACCACGAGCCCUGGACCCGCCUCGUCGUGCAGGCGAGGUACCUGCUCCGGUUGCAGGCGAGGGACGAGGUCUAGGAGCUGGAGCACUCGAUAGGACGGGACGGGGACGGGGAGGGGGAGGGGGAAAAUAACUGACUAGAUCGAUGAGUAGACUAACAAAAAGACAGAAUGAUACCAUAGAUAUUGUAUGAAGUCUGAUUUUUUAAGUCGAUCAUCCCUAUGAGAACCAAAGAAACAGGACCUAAAUAGUGAAGUCGGAUACACACAGUGCGAACUGGGUCAGUUUAACCAGGGCUUGGUGGGGGGUGGUCAAAUAGACAUUACAUGACCUUUUAAACAAUUACCCUUACAAGUCACAAUACACCACAUACGACGUUCAUAGCCUAAAUCAAACUACAGGUAGUCAGCGAAGCGUUCUUAACUGAUCUGUUUGUGGAUAUAAUGUAGAGUACAAGUCCCAAAUCACAGUCUCUAGAACGGACACAAGGUCGGUUAGUAAGAGCUUUCGUGUACCCAUAAUUGUUACAACAAGGAGAUAUCACGAUCGAUAGACUAAAACGACAUUUAGUAACGUAUUGGAUCAACACAAUCUAAACAGGUAGGGAAUACUAUUGUCAUACAUCUUAGUGGUCGACUUGCACUUCCGGAGACGUUGCACGACGACAAAAAAGAACCUCAAGAACCUCAGAGACCUCACGCAAGAACUCGAAAAACCGGAAAGCCCUUGACGACCUGUGAUGUUGCGGUGCCGGUGUUGUCUCGCUCGACGUGCUUAGCUAAGUGGUGUCACUCCGUAUCUGGUUUUGGAUCGAACGAAGUGGCUAAGCGCCGCCGCCCCUGCCACUGGCCGCACCCCGGCACCCACGUACAGCUGGCCGCGACGACGACGCGGCGACCACCCACCGGUCAGCCGCCAGUAGGAGUGUAGGACAACCUCCGAACCUCGAGAGCGGAGACUGAGCUCCAGACUCGGAGAGCCGGAGAGCGGAGAAAUACAACUAUUGGCCUCAUCAGGAUCACAUUUAACUCGAUCGAGAUCACAAUUACGCAUACAUAUAAUGACCAACGAGAACGACGCGACAGUCCACUUUCGUCAAGAGGACAUUAGGGCUCAAAGUCAGUAUACCAAGACUUGAAGACUAUAAUCGUAUAUGCGAAAGAAGACUUGACCCACCUACAACCAACCGUAUAUCAUACUCAUCAAGAAUAGAAGGAAAAAUUUAAGGAAACUUCACCACGAGACAUGACUGAUUACUACUAUGAUCAAUAAACGAUGACGAGGAUUACGAGAUCAUCUUCUCCGACGACUUCCCGUGUGAGUUCUUGUCCCCUGACGAGGUCUUGUUCUUCGUACACGUUCAGACCACAUCUGUUUGUUCUGUAGACCUGCUCUUCUUUUUCUUCACGUUCCGACCAUUCCAGCUCUGAGUAGAACUUAAGGGACCUGCACUUUUCCAAUUUAAACCACUUCAACAGCUUUGAGGUGGUUUCAAUAGUAAGGGUUUCUCCACUAGCUGCGACUGUUCGCGCCGGGCCACCGCGACACGAGAAGUUGGUGAGUCUCCGCCUGAAGCGGCACUUCGGGCCACCGGUGCAGCGUGUCUACUAGCAGGUCCACUAAAGCUGCGGCCUCCAGUGGCUACACCUCCUGGAGCUGCGGUGGCAGGCGCUCUCCCUCCUAAGCACAGGUGGCCGCAGACUUGAGGAUCGGAAUAUCUAUGUAGAUCUCUCCACCAGACAAAUCCAACCACCAUCUGGUGAUCCCUUCCAUGGGUGGAAUGCUACUACCAACGCACACAGACUACAAUUUACCUUAGAACUCUACCAAGACACUCAACCAAACCAAACGUGACCUGCAUAAUGGUAAGUAUUCAUG
rnacentral:rRNA from 1 species